AAUUACACAACUGUAAGUUCUUCAAAAAGUUAUGUUUAAGAAAAAAGAUACAGGAAGGUUUAGUGUGUAAAUUAGGCCCUAGUUUAGAUUUGACUGAACAGAAAGGAGUUUCUUCAGGUCUCAACACUCAGGCCUUUGUUUCCUCUGAACAACACCUACUUCCUGUGUGUACAGUUUUUAGUGUAUUAUAAGGAACAACACUAUUUCUUUUUUAAUUAUCUCUUUUCUACUGUGUACGUGUUGUCUUUCCAUGCUGGUAGUUUAACUGUAUUAGACUUAAGACAGUAGAAACAAUAGAAACAGGAUUUAGGUUUUAAAAAUAAACCCCACUGCCGUAUGAGGAAAUAAACCACGUGACUCUCUGAAAAAUUUCCACUUCAAAUGACGCAUCAGUUAAAAACACGGUUUAGUGAUUAAAUCUAUAGACUUUAAUACAGUAUAGUCUU